rnacentral:lncRNA from 1 species
UCAGUUGCAACUUGAUCUGAGCAGUCCAUUGUCAAGUUGUCUAGGAAUGGCUUCCAAAGUCACGUCGUCACUACCUUUAACAAAACUCAAACUCUUCUUGCACAUGGUGCUCUCAUAUUUCCCAUGCUCCAAGAUUCUUCAGCAAUCAACGUCAUAAAAUUAUGGUCUUUUUGGUCAAGGAAAGGACAAGGUGAGUAUUUUCUGGUUGAUAUGCAUGAAAUACAGAUGCAUGAAUGCAUAUGUUGUGG